rnacentral:rRNA from 1 species
UACGAAGGACCCAAGCGUUAUCCGGAUUUAUUGGGUUUAAAGGGUGCGUAGGCGGAUUAUUAAGUCAGUGGUGAAAGCCUGCAGCUCAACUCCAGAACUGCCUUUGAUACUGAGGAUCUUGAGUUCGGGAGAGGUGAGUGGAACUGCGAGUGUAGAGGUGAAAUUCGUAGAUAUUCGCAAGAACACCAGUGGCGAAGGCGGCUCACUGGCCCGAUACUGACGCUGAGGCACGAAGGCGUGGGGAGCAAACAGG